UACGGUAGGGUGCAAGCGUUGUCCGGAAUUAUUGGGCGUAAAGAGCUCGUAGGCGGUUUGUCGCGUCUGCUUGUGAAAAACUCGGGGGCUUAACCCCCGGGCCUGCAGUGGGUACGGGGCAGACUAGAAGGUGCGGUAGGGGAGACUGGGAAUUCCUGGUGUAGGCGGUGAAAAUGCGCAGAUAUCAGGAGGAACACCGGUGGCGAAGGCGGAUCUCUGGGCAGUAACUGACGCUGAGGAGCGAAAGCGUGGGAGCGAACAGGA
rnacentral:rRNA from 1 species